UGUGGAGAAGUUGUUACAAUUUGUAACAGUGUUUAGUCCCUCCUUCCCUGCCAGGAUUUCAAAUGCUGCAGAAAGAGAAAUCUCCUGAGAUUUUCAGUGCAAAAGCUCAUGAUGACAUCACCGGAGUUACCAGUUCUCCUGCUGAGCAAUGCAAAGGAAGCAACUCCAUAACAGUUUUAUAACAUGAAAGCUGCAUGAUUCAAGUCAUUGCCCCUCACACACACCCAGGGCUGCAUCAGCCAGGACUCACUUCUAAUGCAGAUCUUACCUAGGAGGGGAGAGACCUGCAAAUUACUCCUUUAUAUUCCUAUAGCCACAGUGAUGGCAUGCCUCGCAACAUUUUGGAAAUAGAACGAGGGACCAAAAUGGACAUUUUUGACCAUGCCCAUUUUUGUG